rnacentral:rRNA from 1 species
AUUCCAGCUCCAAUAGCGUAUAUUAAAGUUGUUGCAGUUAAAAAGCUCGUAGUUGGAUUUCUGGUGGGAGCGAUCGGUCUGGCGCUUAGCGCGAGUACUUGCAUCGUCUCCGGCCAUCCUUGGGGAGAGUUUGUCUGGCAUUAAGUUGUCGGGCAGAGGAUCCUCAUCGUUUACUGUGAAAAAAUUAGAGUGUUCAAAGCAGGCUUAUGCCGUUGAAUAUAUUAGCAUGGAAUAAUAAGAUAGGACUUUGGUACUAUUUUGUUGGUUUGCGCACCAAAGUAAUGAUUAAUAGGGACAGUCGGGGGCAUUUGUAUUCAAACGACAGAGGUGAAAUUCUUGGACCGUUUGAAGACAAACUACUGCGAAAGCAUUUGCCAAGAAUGUUUUCAUUG